UACGGGGGGAGCAAGCGUUGUCCGGAAUUAUUGGGCGUAAAGAGCUCGUAGGCGGUCUGUCACGUCGGCUGUGAAAACCCGAGGCUCAACCUCGGGCCUGCAGUCGAUACGGGCAAACUAGAGUGUUGCAGGGGAGACUGGAAUUUACGGUGUAGCGGUGAAAUGCGUAGAUAUCGUAAGGAAGACCAGUGGCGAAGGCGGGUCUCUGGACAAUUCCUGACGCUGAGGCACGAAGGUCAGGGGAGCAAACGGG
rnacentral:rRNA from 1 species